rnacentral:rRNA from 1 species
GACGAACGCUGGCGGCGUGCUUAACACAUGCAAGUCGAAGAUAGUGGCGAACGGGUGAGUAAUACGUGGGUAACCUGCCCUCCUUUUUGGGAUAAGCCUUGGAAACGGGGUCUAAUACCGAAUAAAGGGGGAUGGGCUCGCGGCCUAUCAGCUUGUUGGUGGGGUGAUGGCUUACCAAGGCUUUGACGGGUAGCCGGCCUGAGAGGGUGGUCGGUCACACAGGGACGGAGAUACGGCCCAGACGCCUACGGGAGGCAGAAGUGGGGGAAAUUGCACAAUGGACGAAAGGCUUAUGCAGCGACGUCGAGUGGGGGAUGAAGGCCUUCGGGUUGUAAACUCCUUUCGGCCGAGGAAUGGUAGUGGGUAAAGAAGCGCCGGCUAACUACGUGCCAGCAGCCGCGGUAAUUC